rnacentral:tRNA from 1 species
GGCGCUAUAGUGUAGUGGCAGCACAUGGGAUUCUGAUGAGGAAUUGAUAAGCAAUAUUCCCAUAACCCAGGUUCGACCCCUGGUAGUGCCU